UGGGUUUAUUGAUGGGAAGGCGGUUGUUGGUUCGGCAUUGUAACAUUUAGAUCGUAACGGUUUUUUUUGGUGUCUGUUGUUUUGUGAUUUUUGUGAAAGAUCAGGUUUAAGGUAAGUCAAGUGAUUUUGUUUUUAUUGAUGUACUGUAUAAUGGAAGAAUACAUUUAUUAUAGUCUUAGAUACUUAGACUAUAUUUAUUUAAAUGAUAAACUUAUUGAAAGACUAGCCACAUAACCUCAAAGCCUCAUAAUUAGCCUUAAUGAAUUAUUUAUGGCAUAAUUUCAAUAAUAAUAAAAGUAAGCCUCUUAAAUCUAUUAGUGCUGGAAAAGAAAAAUCUAAGUUGCAGACACAAUACCAGAAGAUAAACUGAUCCUUGCAGGAAAUGUUAAAAUUGGGAAAGCUGGAGAUUCCCAGUUCACUAAAAAUUUAUGCUCGAAAAAAGAAGCGUGACUGGACGAAAAUCGAACGUCCACAAGGACUUCCAAGCAAAAACAAUGUUGACACCCCAAAAAAUGGAUAGUUUAAGAAAAAUGUUCAAACGACGGAUCCUCGAGGAGAAUCCGAAUGCUUCGAGAAGUGAGAUGGAAUUAAGAUGAGCUAGCAUUAACCAGUACGUUGCUCAAAAGAUCGCAACCCUAAACAGAAAAAGCUUCAAAUCUCCUGGAGCACUCCCAGAUAAGGACAUAUUAAUUCAUGAAUAAUAUAUAUGUAAUGUAAUGUUUCUUCAUAAAUAAUAUAAUUAUAUAUGAGCUACUUUAAUAAACAAUUUUGCAUUUUA